GAGUAGGGUUAGGGUUAGGGUUUGGGUUGGGUAAGGACUAGGGUUAGGUUAGGGUUAGGAGUAGGGUUAGGAGUAGGUUUAGGGUACCUCUACUCCUAACCCUAUCCUAACCCAACCCUUCUCCUAUCCCUACCCUAACCCUACUCCUACUCCUAACACCUAACCCCUAACCCUACCCUAACCCUACUCCUAACCCAACCCUAACCCUACUCUUAACCCUACUC